rnacentral:rRNA from 1 species
AGUGAACGCUGGCGGUAGGCCUAACACAUGCAAGUCGAACGGCAGCACAGUAAGAGCUUGCUCUUACGGGUGGCGAGUGGCGGACGGGUGAGGAAUACAUCGGAAUCUACUUUUUCGUGGGGGAUAACGUAGGGAAACUUACGCUAAUACCGCAUACGACCUACGGGUGAAAGCAGGGGAUCUUCGGACCUUGCGCGAUUGAAUGAGCCGAUGUCGGAUUAGCUAGUUGGCGGGGUAAAGGCCCACCAAGGCGACGAUCCGUAGCUGGUCUGAGAGGAUGAUCGGCCACCCGGGAACUGAGACACGGUCCAGACUCCUACGGGAGGCAGCAGUGGGGAAUAUUGGACAAUGGGCGCAAGCCUGAUCCAGCCAUACCGCGUGGGUGAAGAAGGCCUUCGGGUUGUAAAGUCCUUUUGUUGGGAAAGAAAAGCAGCAGGUUAAUACCCCGCUGUUCUGACGGUACCCAAAGAAUAAGCACCGGCUAACUUCGUG